rnacentral:rRNA from 1 species
AACGUGGCGGCGCCCUACACUUACAAGUCGAACGGAUCUCCGGGAUUAUAGGCGGACGGGUGAGUAUGGGAACGUGCCCUUUGGUUCGGAACAACUCAGGGAAACUUGAGCUAAUACCGGAUGUGCCCUUCGGGGGAAAGAUUUAUCGCCAUUGGAGCGGCCCGCGUCUGAUUAGCUAGUUGGUGGGGUAAAGGCCCACCAAGGCGACGAUCAGUAGCUGGUCUGAGAGGAUGAUCAGCCACAUUGGGACUGAGACACGGCCCAAACUCCUACGGGAGGCAGCAGUGGGGAAUCUUGCGCAAUGGGCGAAAGCCUGACGCAGCCAUGCCGCGUGAAUGAUGAAGGUCUUAGGAUUGUAAAUUUUUCCCGGGGACGAUAUGACGCCCGGAAAAAGCCCGGUACUCGUGCCAGAGCGCGUAUACACGGGGUAGCUUGUCGGAUACUGG